UACGUAGGGGGCAAGCGUUGUCCGGAAUUAUUGGGCGUAAAGAGCGUGUAGGCGGCCAGAUAAGUCCGCUGUGAAAUCUCGAGGCUCAACUUCGAGCUGUCGGUGGAAACUAUCUGGCUAGAGUCCGGAAGAGGAGAAUGGAAUUCCUGGUGUGGCGGUGAAAUGCGCAGAUAUCAGGAAGAACACCCGUGGCGAAGGCGGUUCUCUGGGACGGUACUGACGCUGAGACGCGAAAGCGUGGGGAGCAAACAGG
rnacentral:rRNA from 1 species